CCUCCAGGUUGCUGUGGGGACAGAGCAGGCCACACUGAGGAGGCGGAGACACCAGAGGGACCCCAGGUCAGGUGCAUCAUGGGACCCGUGUCCCAGUGUCAGGUGCAUGGAUGGGAUUCGUGUCAGGUGCACCAUGGAACCCCAUGUCCAGGUGCAUCAUGGGGCUCGGAAGCACAGGCGGACACAGGCAAGACACAAGGACAAAGUGCCCUUCCUCUCACACUGCCACCUCCCAGAGACUGAUCCUCCCCAGCCCAGCACCCACGGCCAUCCCUGUGCGGCCACCUGGACACCCAGCCAGAGCAACU